rnacentral:rRNA from 1 species
CCUACGGGGGGCUGCAGUGAGGAAUAUUGGUCAAUGGACGAGAGUCUGAACCAGCCAAGUAGCGUGAAGGAUGACUGCCCUAUGGGUUGUAAACUUCUUUUAUAUGGGAAUAAAACGUUCCACGUGUGGGAUUUUGUAUGUACCAUAUGAAUAAGGAUCGGCUAACUCCGUGCCAGCAGCCGCGGUAAUACGGAGGAUCCGAGCGUUAUCCGGAUUUAUUGGGUUUAAAGGGAGCGUAGGUGGAUUGUUAAGUCAGUUGUGAAAGUUUGCGGCUCAACCGUAAAAUUGCAGUUGAAACUGGCAGUCUUGAGUAUAGUAGAGGUGGGCGGAAUUCGUGGUGUAGCGGUGAAAUGCUUAGAUAUCACGAAGAACUCCGAUUGCGAAGGCAGUUCACUGGACUGCAACUGACACUGAGGCUCGAAAGUGUGGGUAUCAAACAGGAUUAGAUACCCUUGUAGUC